rnacentral:rRNA from 1 species
UACGUAGGGGGCAAGCGUUGUCCGGAUUUAUUGGGCGUAAAGCGCGUGUAGGCGGCCAUGUAGGUCCGUUGUGAAAACUCGAGGCUCAACCUCGAGACGCCGAUGGAAACCAUCUGGCUAGAGUCCGGAAGAGGAGAGUGGAAUUCCUGGUGUAGCGGUGAAAUGCGCAGAUAUCAGGAAGAACACCCGUGGCGAAGGCGGCUCUCUGGGACGGUACUGACGCUGAGACGCGAAAGCGUGGGGAGCGAACGGG